AUUGGAGUCUGCAACUCGACUCCAUGAAGUCGGAAUCGCUAGUAAUCGUAGAUCAGAAUGCUACGGUGAAUACGUUCCCGGGUCUUGUACACACCGCCCGUCAUACCAUGGGAGUGGGUUGCACCAGAAGUGGCUAGUCUAACUUUAUUGAGGACGGUCACCACGGUGUGAUUCAUGACUGGGGUAAAGUCGUAACAAGGUAGCCCUACCGGAAGGUGGGGCUGGAUCACCUCCUUA
rnacentral:rRNA from 1 species